GUUAGUUGCCAUCAUUCAGUUGGGCACGUCUAGCGAGACUGCCGGUAAUAAACCGGAGGAAGUGGGGAUGACGUCAAAUCAUCAUGCCCUUAUGACCUGGGCUACACACGUGCUACAAUGGUUGGUACAACGAGUUGCGAGUCGGUGACGGGCGAGCUAAUCUCUUAAAGCCAAUCUCAGUUCGGAUUGUAGGCUGCAACUCGCCUACAUGAAGUCGGAAUCGCUAGUAAUCGCGGAUCAGCACGCCGCGGUGAAUACGUUCCCGGGCCUU
rnacentral:rRNA from 1 species